CGCUGGUCGGAAAACGAGGUAGGGCUUCCCGUGACCGGGGCCGUCCGACCGCGAGUUUCCGUUUCGCCAGACGCAUUUGUCUCCCUCUCGAAGGACGCCGCAGCCGGUCGGGCAGCGCAAGCGCGACGGCCUGAGGGGCGGACGAUGGCAGGUGGCCGGUGGCGUGCCUCGUGCGCGUCGCCGGUUGUUAGCCGGUCCGUCAGUGGCUCGUCGCUCGACCGAGGUAUCACGAGGCCCUUCGGGGCUCUCUCGCCUCCUCCUAACGGAAGUCGGGACAGACCGUCGCAAGCGAAGGCCGCCGUCCCGCCGCACUCCCUCGGAGUGGGCGGGCGAACGGUCGGCGCCGAUCGCGACGGCGGACCCGUCGGAGGCCGGAGGCUGGCGGCGAGUAGGUCGGUCACCCACCCGACCCGUCUUGAAACACGGACCAAGGAGUCUAACAUGUGCGCGAGUCAAUGGGUCUUGAACAGGCCCAGGGGCGCAAUGAAAGCAAAGGUCGGCUUCGCGUCGACCGAGUUGGGAUCCCGCGGAGUCUCUCCGCGGGCGCACUAACGACCCGUCCUAUGCGGCUCGCCGCUUGGRCGGAGUGUGAGCGUACACGUUGGGACCCGAAAGAUGGUGAACUAUGCCCGAAGAGGAUGAGGCCAGAG
rnacentral:rRNA from 1 species